rnacentral:lncRNA from 1 species
GUGGCAGAUGGGGCAUCUGUGGGUUUUGCCUCUUCUGCAGCCAUUCCCCCCUCCUCUGGUAACAGCACUAUGAUUUGGUGGCGGGGAAGGGCUGGGGGUGCAUCUUUUUCACUGUAAGUCCCUGUGGUUCAGGUGAGACUGAUUCCAUCCUGCCCAAUGCCCCUGCUCCAAGCUGGGCACUUACGCCAGCCUAAGCCAUUGAUUGCCCUGGAAUGUUCAUGUGACUUAAGUUAGGAUGAGGAGAGUCAGCUCCAGGACUUUUGCUGACACUGUUGUGAAAGAGGGGCUUUCUGCUGCGAAUGCCAAGUGGAUGGUAUGCAAGUCUGGAGCUGUUCCUGGCUUGUUCUGUGAAAACUUACUGGAGAAUGAAGCCAAUUAGAAGAGAUGCAUUUGAGCAAUGAAGAAAGAAGUUUCCUGAGGACAUUGAGCAUCUGGAUCCAGCUGCAGCUGAAACUGAUCCUACCCUAGGACUUUGCAGGCUAAGUCUCCCUCUAAGAGUAAAAAACAUGCUGCCAUCAAAUAUAUAGUGAGCAUGUGUCAAAUAUCAAUCUAACUCAUUUAAUGAAGAGACCAGAAAGAUAAUAAAUCUGGUUGAAGGAGAAUUCAAGGAACAGAGAGCUUCCGCUGCUUCAAAACGGCGUGCAGGAGUCAGAGACAUUACAUCAGGAAGAUACUGCAGAGAUAUUCUACUCCAUCUCAUUCAUUGUACAGAUUCUAAACUCCCUGAAGGAGACAAAUUACCAGUGGACAAGAACACAGCCUCUGGAGUCCAAUAGGCCUGGUGCAUUCAUUAGGGUAAGUGGUGCUAGGUGCUAUAACAGAUAAACCUCAAAUUAUUUGUGACUUCACACAAUAUAACCUUAUUUCUUCACUCAUAUGAAGUCGUUUUUAGUACACAUUGCCAUUUAUGGACAUAGGCUCUUACCUUCUCAUGAUUCUUUGCUGCU